ACAUCCUGGGGCUGUAGCAGGUCCCAAGGGUAUGGCUGUUCGCCAUUUAAAGUGGUACGCGAGCUGGGUUUAGAACGUCGUGAGACAGUUCGGUCCCUAUCUGCCGUGGGCGCUGGAGACUUGAGGGAAGCUGCUCCUAGUACGAGAGGACCGGAGUGGACGCACCACUGGUGUUCCGGUUGUCAUGCCAAUGGCACUGCCGGGUAGCUAUGUGCGGACGGGAUAACCGCUGAAAGCAUCUAAGCGGGAAGCCCCUCCCAAGAUGAGGUCUCCCUGGACCCUUGAGGUCCCUGAAGGGCCGUAGAAGACUACUACGUUGAUAGGCUGGGUGUGGAAGUGCAGUAAUGUAUGAAGCUAACCAGUACUAAUUGCCCGUGAGGCUUGACCAU
rnacentral:rRNA from 1 species